UGAGUGCGCAGUGUACACGAAGACAGCAGCGACAGAAAUCCGCCUUCAUCCUUGCCGUCGACAUUGCCUACAAGCUUCAGCCCAAGACUGACUGAGAAUCAGAUAACGGCUCUAUUCUGCGACAUGGUGUCAGGCGCGCAACAAUCUUAAUCCAGUUUCUUUAUGGCUUGGUGAUUUUAAUAUAGAUGAUAACCUAGAUCUGAGAAUACGCAUGUCAUCCCGAGCUUCCGUAGCGGAUCCCGCUUUAUGAGACAUGCGGCCUUCGAGCGCAGGACGAUCCCCGGGAACUGUCGUUUCUGGAUAUCGAGUCAAUACAGCUCCCUUGUGUUGUAUUUUUUUCGCUCCCGCUUUGCAGCAGUUUCAUAGAAGUAUUCAUGGGACGACGCCAUCUCUUCUUGAAAAAUCUGCUUUUUCAUUCACGAACCCAGUCAGUCAUGCAUUGUUCCCCCUCCUGUUUUUCCGUUCUCUCUACGCAGAGAACAGGACCAUACCAAGGACCUUUUUCGUCCGCUAUGCAUGUUCCUCUUUUUCCGCCUACAGAAUUUCCCUUUCGCUGGCAGUACUCUUUUCUUCCAAACAGCGUUUUUUUUCCAGUUUUUAUUCAGCCUUCCACUGGAUUACUCAAUGUCAUCAUCCAUCUGGACCGGCGCAUAUCGUCGCCAGGUACGCUAGUAUCCCCUUGCCGGUCUAUUAUAAACUCCUGGACAACGACCGACUGCCCGAGUUUUGCUUUCUUAGUGCAGAGAUUGUUGAAGCAAAUGUCGAGAAGCUGAGCUCCACACAAACGAUGGUUCUCUAUGACCUUCUAGGUAUAGUAGAGAAAUGUUUUCCCGGUGUUUUGAGACCGAACGGAUGGAAAAGCCGUGCAAACUCGCAGAGCUGCAGUACACGGAAGGCAUAUAGAUGGCGAAUGAGAACGAGCCGUCAUGCGACCUGCUUUAUGUGACUGUGUAUCAAUCCCGUGAGGCUUUGGCCUACCUUAAAAUGAAAUGGUCCGUUUUUAGGUGUCCGAAAGGUAUUUCUAAUUGUCGACGCAUUCCUACAGUGUUUUCUACUGUGUGAGCCACACAAAGAGCACAGUCGGAGAGUGACAAAAUUUCAGCGGUGCCCCCAAGAACAGCAACGGCGCUGGCGGCUUGCUCAGAACGAUAGAUCUCAGCAGCGAGUGAUCCUCUCUUUCAAACUGAUAAUUCAAAAGGACUCUAUGAACAAACUCACUCUGGACCUCACUCAUCCCCUUUAAGCGUUCUUCUUGUGCUUCUUGUUAUUAUAGAGGGUGGCAGUCGCUCGAAAUGGUUACGUAACGGGCAACUCGGUUGGUUACGUAACAAUCACCGUGGAUCUUAAGCAAAUCAAUUUGCUGGUGUUAUCGACAUUUACAAGUUAUCAGUUGUCACAAUCAUCCAGUAAAGCUGUAAAAUACCCUUAUAUAACUUGGGAGCAUUGCGAAUAAAAUCACA